rnacentral:rRNA from 1 species
GGUGAACCUGCGGUUGGAUCAUUACUGAACGUCCCGGUGGUCGAGUCUGGACUCUUUGUCUUGGAUUCCCCCGGGUACCAACCCCUUGUGCACCAUGAUGUUUUUUGGGCCAGCAGUUACUUUUACCCAUUCAUUUUGGGCAGAGUUCUCUGGCCCAGCAUUAUUUUACAGAGACCAUAGUAACCCAAUGUCUUAAAAAAAGUAUAAUUUACUUACAACUUUUGACAACGGAUCUCUUGGCUCUCGCAACGAUGAAGAACGCAGCGAAAUGCGAUACGUAAUGUGAAUUGCUUUCCGUGAAUCAUCAAAUCUUUGAACGCAACUUGCACUCUUUUAGAGUAUGCCUGUUUGAGAAUCUAUUGUAUCUUUCAAAGCCCUCGGGACUGGAAACAGAUCCGGGAGUGGAGAGAUUUGAGACCUCCCUCUCUUUUUUUAAAAAAAGAGGGUGUCUUGAAAUAGAUUGCCGGCUGGGUCUCUCAGAGACCCGGGUCUUGGUCUUUGGCCAGGUACCUCCCUACGGAACAGCUGGGUAUGUGUACGAAACUCUGUUUCUCAUUAUGCCCACUGCUGGUCCCGGGAAGUGCCCUCUGCUCAAGCAAUUGAGAGGCCGACCUUGUCAGUACCCGGCCCAUCAAAACUAAAAUUUUUGAACCUUGGUCUCAAAUCAGGUAGG